GAAGCAGCCUUCAACCAGAAGUUAAUGGAGAGCUGGACACCCAGAAUUUUAUGAAGUUUGAUGAGGUAUUUCACAAAAGUCAGGGAGCUAGCUAAAUUUGAUGAAGUUAAUGUAUGACUCCAUGAGUUUUCAGCUAGCUAACGUUAUGCCGAAAUCUAAAUGUUAUCCUUACUGCUAUACUUGUGUUAAGGACUCAUUUUUUUUAAUUAGAAUAUUGGUGAUGUGUGAAUUGCCUCAUCGAAAAGGUUAAGUUUUCUGCACCACACCCUCUCACAUGCAGGUUUGAUUAUUUUUGUUGGUCAAAGUACGUAAAAAUAUUUUGUUGGGUGGUGUUGGUGAAACUCGAAUAAGGAUCUGUGCUUCCUAUGUAACCAUGGGAAGUGUGCAGACCCCCUCAUAUAAGAGUUCUAUUCCUUUAUGCAGGUUGCCCUUCAUAAGAUAUAAGUCACACAGUAGGCAUGUGUAUAACCUUUUACAAUAGCAACUUCUUGAAGCCCAUUUUUUUCUGAAACAAAUUACACCAACCAUGAUUGGUUAUUCUCAUACACAGUAGCAUGUGUUUCCUCAAUUUCGCGUUCUCUUUUAUACGUCUUGCAAGUUGUUGACGAUUUGCUGAAGUUCGAACUCGAUAGCUAUGGGCAUGCAGUGAAGUUAGGUUUAAAAGGGGCCAAGAGAUGGGAAAUGUGUGAUUCUGCAGAAAUAGAGGAGUUAGGCAAGCAAUAAGAGAGAUUGAUGCUAAAGAACUAGUUUUGGUUUCAGAUAAACAAUUUUCCAGAGUUCUCCAAGAAUAAUAGAUAUAAAAAAUGUGUGUUAGGAGGGAAGGUCCUCUGAAACCAAGAAUGAUUCUCAGAAUCAAUUUGUCUCUCUACUUUCGUGCAACUUCUUCAUUUUUACAGAGACAGGCACAUUUCCACAUUUCUGCAUAUUUUUCUUUACUCAAGAACUAGUUGGCCCUUUUUCAAUCCUAAUUUCAUCUGAUAGCCGCAGUUCUCUAGUUUGAAUGUCAACAACUUGUCGACUACCUUGAAUACUAUCCAUUCAACCCCAGAAUAAAUGAACAGUGCAGUUGAGGGGACACACUGAGUUGUGUACAACUAUAACCAUCAUAGGAUUUUUACUAUUUGUUUGAGUAAGAUAAUGCUCUUCAAGAAACUGUCAUUGCAGCAGCUUGUGAUCAUACCUACUGUGUGACUUGUAUCCUUAGGUAGGCAACCUAUAGAAAGGAGCCGACAUGCCACUUUUUUUGGGUUUACUUCUUUUUUUCUUAGGCCAAGCACAUACAGAAUUUUGUUGAUGUGUAAUAUUCAGACUCAAAUCUAGGAUCUGCGUUUACUUUGGUACAGUGUUGAAGUUUGAAUCGCCUCAUUUCUUGAGGUUUAGAUUAUAAGAGUGUGCACUUUUGUUUAUUUAUUUACAUCUGCAAAACGUCCCCUAAUACCAUUUUCAAAAGACUUUUCUCU
rnacentral:lncRNA from 1 species